rnacentral:rRNA from 1 species
UACGGAGGGUGCGAGCGUUAUCCGGAUUCACUGGGUUUAAAGGGUGCGUAGGUGGGAAUGUAAGUCAGUGGUGAAAUCUCUGAGCUUAACUCAGAAACUGCCAUUGAUACUAUGUUUCUUGAAUUUUCUGGAGGUCAGCGGAAUAUGUCAUGUAGCGGUGAAAUGCUUAGAUAUGACAUAGAACACCAAUUGCGAAGGCAGCUUACUACGGGAACAUUGACACUGAGGCACGAAAGCGUGGGGAUCAAACAGG